rnacentral:tRNA from 1 species
GGUUUUGUAGCUCAGUUGGUUAGAGCGCGGUGCUUAUAGGUCCAGUUCACGUGUAGUGAAUUGUCACAGAAGACUUAUACAAGUUACAUCGAGGUCUUGGGUUCGAGCCCCAACCUAACCA